rnacentral:tRNA from 1 species
CAGAAAAUAGUUUAUUAAAAUAAUAAUUUUGGAGAUUAUUGAUAGGAAGUUUUCCUUUUUCUGA